rnacentral:rRNA from 1 species
CAGUCGAGAAUAAUUCACAAUGGGGGCAACCCUGAUGGUGCAACGCCGCGUGGAGGAUGACGGUCUUCGGAUUGUAAACUCCUGUCAUCCGGGAGUAAGACCUGGCGGUUAACAGCCGACAGGGUUGAUAGUACCGGAAGAGGAAGGGACGGCUAACUUCGUGCCAGCAGCCGCGGUAAUACGAAGGUCCCGAGCGUUGUUCGGAAUCACUGGGCGUAAAGGGAGCGUAGGCGGCGCGGUAAGUCAGAUGUGAAAUCCCGGGGCUCAACCCCGGAACUGCAUCCGAUACUGCCGUGCUAGAGGAUUGGAGAGGUAGCUGGAAUUCUUGGUGUAGCAGUGAAAUGCGUGGAUAUCAAGAGGAACACUCGUGGCGAAAGCGAGCUACUGGACAACUCCUGACGCUGAGGCUCGAAGGCCAGGGUAGCGAAAGGGAUUAGAUACCCCUGUAGUCCUGGCAGUAAACGGUGCACGCUUGGUGUGAGGGGAAUCGACCCCCCUUGUGCCGGAGCUAACGCGUUAAGCGUGCCGCCUGGGAAGUACGGUCGCAAGACUAAAACUCAAAGAAAUUGACGGGGACCCGCACAAGCGGUGGAGUAUGUGGCUUAAUUCGAUGCAACGCGAAGAACCUUACCUGGGCUUGACAUGGAUUUCUAAGCACGUGAAAGCGUGUGACCCUUCGGGGAACUUCCACAGGUGCUGCAUGGCCGUCGUCAGCUCGUGUCGUGAGAUGUUGGGUUAAGUCCCGCAACGAGCGCAACCCUUGUGACUAGUUGCCAGCACGUAAUGGUGGGAACUCUAGUCAGACUGCCCAGAUCAACUGGGAGGAAGGUGGGGACGACGUCAGGUCAGUAUGGCCCUUACGCCUUGGGCUGCACACGUACUACAAUGCCCAGCACAAUGAGAACCGAUACCGCGAGGUGGAGGAAAUCUAUAAAACUGGGCCCAGUUCGGAUUGGAGGCUGCAACUCGCCUCCAUGGAGUUGGAAUCGCUAGUAAUGGCGCAUCAUCUACGGCGCCGUGAUAC